ACAUCCAGCGAACUUGGCAGAGAUGCCUUGGUGCCUUCGGGAACGCUGAGACAGGUGCUGCAUGGCUGUCGUCAGCUCGUGUUGUGAAAGUGUUGGGUUAAGUCCCGNAACGAGCGCAACCCUUAUCCUUUGUUGCCAGCGAUUCGGUCGGGAACUCAAAGGAGACUGCCGGUGAUAAACCGGAGGAAGGUGGGGAUGACGUCAAGUCAUCAUGGCCCUUACGAGUAGGGCUACACACGUGCUACAAUGGCGCAUACAAAGAGAAGCGACCUCGCGAGAGCAAGCGGACCUCAUAAAGUGCGUCGUAGUCCGGAUCGGAGUCUGCAACUCGACUCCGUGAAGUCGGAAUCGCUAGUAAUCGUGGAUCAGAAUGCCACGGUGAAUACGUUCCCGGGCCUUGUACACACCGCCCGUCACACCAUGGGAGUGGGUUGCAAAAGAAGUAGGUAGCUUAACCUUCGGGAGGGCGCUUACCACUUUGUGAUUCAUGACUGGGGUGAAGUCGUAACAAGGUAGGCGUAGCGAG
rnacentral:rRNA from 1 species